AAGCCAAGCGACACCAAAGGUGGCCAGCAGCCCAUGUGAAGCUGGAGGAGAGGCCUCGAAUAAAUGCUCCCUUACAGCGUUCAGGGGGAACUGACCCUGUCCACACCUUGACCUUGAACUUCUGGGCUCCAGAACUGUGAGACAGCAUGUUCUGUUGUUGAAGGAGCAGCGUGGCUAGAGGAAUUCCUGCAGCUUAGAUUUCGCUGGCACUGUUACCACUCCCAGAGAGGAGCGGCUGGAGUUCACGGCUGGUUCCUGACAAACUUCCUAAUUAAUCUGCUAAAGAUCAGAGGAGGACUAAUAGGAGCUGAAGACUGUGUGCGAGACCACCCCUCCGCCCUCUCCCUUUGUGUGUGCACGUGUGUGUGUGUGUGUGUGUGAGCGCGUGCGCGCAUGUGGUGCUGAGCUUGGCGGGAGAGAGAUGGCCUCACCAGCGACAAAGCAUUCCUGCUGCUGUUGCUGCCACCUACCUUCCCUGCUUUGGGAGGAUACAUUUUCUCCUCUUGCUUAGAAGUUUCAGGGAGUCACCCAAGCCUUCUUCUCCCAGAUACAACGGUGGAAUAAAAUAUCUUCCAGCCAACAUAUUUUUUGGAGACGGAAUCUCACUCUGUCACCUGGUUGAAGUGCAGCAGCGCGAUCAUGGCUCACUGCAACCUCUGCCUCCCGGUUUCAAGUGAUUCUCCUGCCUCCGCCUCCCGAGUAGCUGGGAUUACAGGCAUGUGCCACCCACCACGCCUGGGUAAUUUUUGUAUUUUUACUAGAGACAGGGUUUCACUAUGUGGGCUGGGCUGGUCUCAAACUCCUGACCUCUGGUGAUCUGCCCACUUCGGCCUCUCAAAGUGCUGGGAUUACAGGCAUGAGCCCCCGCACCCGGUUGCAACCAACUUUUUUGUGGAAUAUAGGAUCUUGAUGUUUGGAUGCCUGAAGGCAGAAGCUGUUGCACAUGGAAUGGAUUAAAGUUUUCCCCUCUGCAACCAAAAAUCCUUGGGGUCCCAGGAGCAAAAGAUGCUCCAUGGCACAGGACAAUUCAAGAAGGCCCGAGGUGAUAUUGAAGACUGCAGAGACAUCCAGCUCAGUUGUGUCUCCGGAGGUGUCCAGACUUUGCAGACAGACGUUGCACAUAAAGAGCUGAAAAACUGAGGAAGCUGAGCUGGAGAAGGAAGUCACUUCUACUCAGACUUGACCUGCGUCUGAUGCUAUGGGGCCUCUUAGGGUUACCUCAUGCUUCAUGCACCCCUUUCUCUGUUCUUCAGCAGAAGGCAGGGUGUAGGGAAGCGGGACUGUGCCUCCUUUCUCCCUGCCAGGCCUGACUCUCCAGGCCAAGAGACACCAUUAAGGAGUAUAAUUUGUUGAUCCAGGCUCUCCUUGCGUUUCAGUGCAGAGUGGCAUCGUUUUCUUUAUGACCUCGUAAAGUCACAGCCGAGAGGCCGAUUUGGAAAACAAACUGCCUCAGGUUGACAGAUAAUUAGAUACAGGGGACAUAUUAUAUGCCUUUGCAUAUAAAUGUGCUCCGAGGCGUGUUGGUUCAUCUGAAGUUGAGGUUAAAGGCGCGCCAGGUAUUCCUGACACAUCAGGAUAUAUAUUUUCAUACAGUCUCAGGUGCUGUGUUGGUUUUAUAGGCCUUUCAUCCUGGUGCUGACGGAUGGGGUGUGAUUGUGACCCAACUUAGAAGAAAGGGACUUCCCUUGCCCAGGGGCCUCCUGGCGUUUUUGUUUUGUGUUCUCCCUCUCCACCCCCACUUUCUCUUCUUCCUUGGGAAGGGAACUGUUCUUUGGACCUAGGAUUCUGCCGUGAGUGACUAAUGGCCUGAGUAGGAGGGACCGGGACUCAUUUUUCUUUUCUGGACUCUAAUAGGCCCAAUUAAUUCAGCUACAACAUGGGCCCUUACAAGCCUGGGACAAGCCUGGGUGGAAUUCUAUAUUGAGGGUAAGAAAAGGGAUGGAAGUAGAUGUUUUCCAGAAGGUUCUGUGGACUCUGGGGGUGACCUGUGGACAGCUGCUGCUGCCCACUACCUGGCAGUUUGGCUAUGUGAUACAUGUCAGCCUUACAAGGAGAUCCCCCUUACCCUGGAAUCUACUUUGGGGGAGCAGAACUUGAGCCUCAGGCAAAUCAGAGACGAGGGGGAAACUUUGCUUUUUCCUCCAGUGGCAGGGAGCUCUGGGCUGGGGAAAUGUCUUUUUGAACACAAAGUUCCAGUUGCAUUCAUCCACAGGAAAAUGUAAAGAGCUUAAUUUAAUGCCCUCUGGGAGUCAUUUCGAUUUAAAAGUGGUAUUAUAGCUUGUGGCUAGAAGAAUGGGCUUAACGGUUAGUCACCUUCUGUUUGGGCAUGUCAUUUAAUCUCUUUGAGGCUGUUUCUUCAUCUUAAAAUAUGAGUGAGAAGGUAGUACCCACCUUACAAUGUGGACAAGAUUAAUUUAGGGAAAACACGUAGCACAGGGCUUCACCCAUGGUAAGUAUUUCAUAAACGGUAACUAUUUUUAACAAUGACAAUUCACAGAGUUAAUCCUAAUAAAAAAUGAUUACAGAAGAGGACGCCUCCACCCACAGGAAGGAGCCAGCACGGUGGGGAGCUGUUUCACCAGGGGAGUGUUCUCAGCAGCUGCCACACGUGGAGUUGUGGAGGUAGCAAGCAGAGUUGGGGGAGGAGGGGGAGCCCUGGUUCCUGCUCUUCCAUGAUCAGUGUGCAGCCUUGAGCAUGGCACUCCCUCUCUUCCCAGCUUAGUGUCCUCAUCCGUAAAAUGAGGGGCUCUCUGAGAGUCUGCCAGGGCCGCUGUCUGAUCUGUGACAGCGUGGCAUGUGGUGUGGUAUGUAAUGCACGUUCCUGCCUGCAGGGAGGCCCUCUCCCUUCCCCCACCAGGCUUCUGGGCAGCACUUGCUGUCAUCCUUGCUUCUGGAACAGGACUGUGCUGUUUUCCAGGCCAAAUUGGAGGGCUGAGGGGGUCUAUUAAGAAGACUCUGGGGAGAUGGUGGAACAAUUCUGUGCUUGAAAUUACCUUCCUCUUUAAAUCUUGCCAUGGCCCUAUUAGAAAAGCUAAGGGGGCAGGAGGAGAGGAGCGGGCAGGGAGAGGAGAGAGAGAGAGAAGAAGGAAGAAGGAAAGGGAAAGGUAAGAAACCCCAUAGCCCGACCCUCAGCCCUGUUGAAGGAGAUUAUAUAAAUAGAGUCGCUGUCACUUUGAUGAAUUAAAUCCUCCGUUAAUUAGGACGCAUCCAUUUAAGGGUUGUCCAGCCAGAUAGUCCUUUUCCCUUCCCAGCAAGUCAUAGCUCAGGGAGGAGGCAUGAGAGGGAUCGUUUUCUGUUUCUGGCUUGAUUGCUGGUUUCUUUCUUACUAGGCUUCAUUAAUUAUCCUGGAAUGUGGUCACCCAGUUUUCUUCAACAUGGGCCAUUCUCCUUUUAGCAGGAUCUUGGCAGUGGACUGCCACGGGAGCUCUGGGGAAAAAGGACCAGUUGGACUCCAGUACCUCCUGAGAGACCACCACCCUCCAUGCCUCCAGCUCAUGCCCAGCUCUGAGUCAGACGGACUCUUCCUGUUGUACUGCGAGGUUCUGCAAACCUUGAAGGGCAAACACAGUGAGGGUCUCUGACUUGCUGUGUGGACAGCCCACUCUCUGACAGCCCAGAUCAUCUGAAGCUAUCCCUGGGCUGGGAGCUGGAAGCCAUUCUUGUGAACCACUCCUUAUACCUUGAGCGAAGCCUCUUUGGGUCCCAGAAGUCUGAAGCUCCAGCUGCCUGGCAAGACUGAGUCUAGAUGAUUUCUUGGGUACCAGUAGUUUGGCAUUUAAAAAUACUGGAUUAACUGCAGUGUAAACUUAGAUUGCAUUUCAGAUUGUAAACAAUAACCCCCGUGCUUCAUGUGAUGUUAAAUCAGAAAUGAGCUAUUAGCCAAGCUAGUCCUCUUAUGAAUGAGCCCCUAACCCUGAUCCAGGGAUCGUUGAAUGAAAAUCAUCAAAAUGAUUUAUCUUCACUUUACCUAUUGUCUCACAAGAAUCUCAUCACUCAGGGAAAAGGAGGGUGUUCUUCAGGGAACGGAGGGCAUGAGGAAGGGGGAUUUCCUUAUAUCUCAACUUUCAGAGGGAGCUGAGUUGUAAACAGAUGGAACAAGGUGUGUACGAGAAGCCUCUUAGAUUUAGUCUUUCAUAUCAAGGCUCUUGCUGAAAAUCCUGGCACAGCUGUGAAAUGAGGGGAGCUCUGACACACAGAGACACGCUCCUUGCCUCACCAACCUUCCCAUACACAGUCAUGCGCACAGAGAGCAGGUACCAAUACUGAAAAUGCCCUUCCGGAGUUUCCUCAGCUUAAACCCUUGACAGCAUUAAGUGAGGAAGGAGUUUCCUUGACCUGGGGAAGAAGAACCAACUCAUAAACAUGGAACUGUGCCCACUGCCUUUUCCUUUGCUCUGUGGAUUGGCUGUGGUUCUGCCCUGGCACUCGGAUGUCAAGUUGCUCUGGCUGUUUGGGAGGAAGCCCAGCCUGGGUCAGGUGGUCAUAAGCCAGAGGCCCUGUCCUGUCCCCAGGGUUGGCCUCCCUCUGGGGUCCAGCAUGGCCCCAGUGCUGAGGCUCCCACUGCUGGGGAAUGUGCCCUCUCCUCUCUUUGUUUCCAUACCAAGGGGAUCUGCAGGGUAGAGGGCAAAUUAUUCUUAGCAGAUUGGGGCUAUGGGUAAACCAGAAGGGAUGAGGGAGAGAGGAGAGAGGAGAGGAAAGGGAAGGAGAGGGGAGGGCAGGGGAUAGGUAGAGGAGAGAGACAGCAAGAAAAAAUAGAAAAAAAAAAAAAGGAAAUAAAGGUUGCAUAUACAAAGGGAGAUUAACAAGGAGUAGAAGAAGGGAGGCAGAAGAGGGAGAAACAGAGAAGAGGAACAAAGAAGACAUUUCCAAAAAAGACGUGAGCACACCAGGCAGGAGGGAGAAAAGGAACAAGGAGAAAGGAAGGAAGUGAGACAAGCUGGGGAGAGAAGAGGCAAAGGCAGCCAGGAGCAGGCAUAGGGGAGAGAGGAGUGGGAAGCCCCAGGGGGUACAAGGAAAAAAAUGAGGGAAGCCAGUGGGAGGAAGGUGAGGAAGAGGAGAGGGAACAGGCACUGGGUGGGGAAGAGGCGAGCAGGAGAAAGCCUGUGCUGUGUGGAUUAUUGUGUGUUUGUCAUCUGGAAUGGUAUAAGCUGUAGGUACAGCAGCUCCCGCCCAUGAUUUAUGGUCCCUGUCAGGCAGGGACCGCGCUUUGUCUGCUGUAGCGUGGACGAUGAAUGCUCCGCUGUCAUCCCAGCCUGGCCGGCCUUUCUCUCUCUCUGCUCCCAACGCUGGCUCCCCAUUUCACGCCAGUGAACAUAAGCAAUCUUUUGUAAACCUGACAGUCACACUUGCUUCUUUGGAAACAUAAAGCAGAAAUGUAUGACUCGGCUUUCAUUACCCAAUUUCCUACGCUAUAUAAAAACACUCAGGAAAGACAUGUAAGUGGUCACGAAACCUGGGAAAUUGGAAGUGUCCUGGAGGAAAAAAAAAGGAAGAGUGGGGAGAAGGGGGCUGUAGGGUGGGAGGGAGCCGGUGAGGAGAGGAGACGAUGUGUCUAACUCCACCACAUCCUUCCCAGAAAACGCCGGCUGAUAAACGGGCCAUGCAGACACAUAAUUAUAUUACAUAUCUGAAUAAUAGACAUUUCCUGCCUGAAGUGUUGCUUUUUUUCCUCCUUCUCCUUUUAACCCAGAGUGCAGUAAUGAAACAGUCUUAAGAUCAAAGCUGCCUGAUAAUGUGGCUUUGUUUUUUCUACCUUUUUCUGCUUUACAUUUUUUUCUUCCCCACUAGCCAUUUGGCAGACUCCAGGAAGUGAAAAGUGUAACUUAUUUUUAAAGAGCAAUUAGGGUGUAGAUCUUGGAGAUUUCUCAGCCAGGAGGGUGAGAUCGGCAGUGGAGAAUCUGCAUCCGUUUUGACAGCCAGGCCAGGGUGGGACAGGUGGGAGGCCCUUGGCAGGUGGGGGAUGCUGGGUGGCUCUGGAAUCUGCUGAGACCGGCCUAGAAGCCACUGGACAUUUUCCGAGGCUUUUCUUUAGGGAUGGAUAACUUCUCUUCCAGCCUCCCGUUAUAUUCAGCUAUAAUCUCACGCCUAGCAGAGGGGAGAGGUGCUCAGGGUUUGGAGCCUAGGUGCUUUCAUUAUGUUGGGUCCUGGCCUUGAUGGCCUGGGCAGUCAGAGAUCCUGGGGAGGUUACUUCAGCAACACUGCAGGCCAAUGGGAUUCCUGGCUUUGUGGAUCUGGAAGUGGAGAGCUAUUUGCUGAUUAUUUUAAUGAUCUUUCCCUCCACAUUCUUUGAGAUCAAAAUCUUUGAGCGGCAUUUAGGGAGUUGCUUUAGUUUAUCUAGGUGGUUGCUUUUGAACAGAGGAGAACCUUGCAGCAGCCCCUGCGGAAGAGUCCACUGAGCUACAUUGCAGUGGCAAUGCCAGUGCACAUCCUGGGCCUGGGCACUGACGUGGAGAUGGAGGAGUCCUUCUGCUUCCCUGAACCUCAGCUUUUCUAGAAAGACUGACAUUCCAUCCACCUAUCUACACAUCAAACACACACAUGCACAAGUGCACACACACACAAGCAUAUGCAGAAAUAUUAGAACAGUCUUUCAAGGACUGGAACAUUAAAAUUCAAAAGCGGUUUUGAAUACUUACUAUAUGUCCAACACUAUACAGUCAUCCCUUGGUAUCCGUGGAGGAUGUGUUCCAGAACCUCCUACAUAUACCAAAAUCCAUGGAUGUUCAAGAUCCUUAUAUAAAAUGGCAUAGUAUUUGCA
rnacentral:lncRNA from 10 species